rnacentral:lncRNA from 1 species
AGGUGCUCAUUAAGAGAAUGAGUUCACUGAACACAAUCGAACGAGAGUACUUGCAUGAAGGUCUACUCACAUGUCAAGCAAGUAACUCUAAUGGUUGGAAUAAUGUAAGUAAUCCUUUGACCUGAGGCAUCGUCGUUGUCUUGUGGCUAAGUACUUAAUCUUUGAUUAUGUCAAAGUCACCUCAUUCGCGGAUGUCCACGGAAUAAUUGGGGUUAAGCCACUUAGUCAUGAAGGCAAGUGAAUGCGCAACAAGGAAUCUCUAAUCCUCGAUUAGAGAGGAAGAAUACUCUAAGAUAUGAUUCGGGAAUUUUCGGCCGAAGUAUCGAGCGUAAUAAAGGAAAGCAUUCCUAUACGACUCAAUUGAAUCAUAUAAGAAGGAAUAAUCACAUUA